UUAAAGUUUUAUCCUGACUUCAAUUCUUAGUUUUAGAUUAAAGCACAUGUAAAUCUUAGUAUGACUACAAUAAAAUAAUUAGUCUUAAUGAUAGUUGUUUUAAGUUCUUAAAGAAAAACUCUAUGAUUAAUUAAUCCUCAGUGUUUAAUGCUAAUUAAAUAAACGAAAGUUUGAAUUGGUUAUUCUAAUAAAACAAUAAUAACCGGUUAAAAUUUGUGCCAGCAGCCGCGGUUAGACUGAAGGUUAAAUUAAGAAAUAAUUGGUUAAAAGUAAUUAAAUGUAUGUAAACAAAUUAAAAAAUCUGUGUUAAUAAAAGGUGAAAUUAAAUUUUUAGCUAGCAAGUUAUUUAAAAACAAAAUAAAACAAAUAUUGAAGUUGCUAAAAUAAAGGCAUAAACUAGGAUUAGAUACCCUAUUAUACUUUAUUUUAAAUGACAUUACCUGGGUACUAAACAGUUAUAAUCUUGAAACUCAAAGGAUUUGGCGGUAGCUUAGUCUAUUUAGAGGAACCUGUCCUAUAAACGACAAACCACGAAUUAUCUUACCUUGCUUUGUAAAUAUAACAGCUUGUAUACCGUCAUUAUCAGAUAACUUUAUUAAAACGUUAGUUAUUGCAAUAAAAAAUUCUUAAAAUAUUAGAUCAAGGUGCAGCUAAUAGUAAGGUAGAGAUGGGUUACAAUAAAUAAAAUUAUUACGAAUAAAAAGUGUAAAAUCUUUUUUAAAGGAGGAUUUAAAUGUAAAAACAUUUUAAUAAGUUAUUUUGACUUUAGCUCUAAGCUAUGUACACAUCGCCCGUCGCUCUCGUUAACUAAAGCGAGAUAAGUCGUAACAUAGUAGGUGUACUGGAAAGUGUACCUAGAAAGCA
rnacentral:ncRNA from 1 species